rnacentral:tRNA from 1 species
GCGCCCUUAGCUCAGUUGGAUAGAGCAACGGCCUUCUAAGCCGUGGGUCGCGUCGAGUCUCGCAGGCGCGCCA